AACCGACGCUUCAUCGAGCGUGAAAUCGAGUAGGGCGGGACACGUGAUAUCCUGUCUGAAUAUGGGGGGACCAUCCUCCAAGGCUAAAUACUCCUGACUGACCGAUAGUGAACCAGUACCGUGAGGGAAAGGCGAAAAGAACCCCUGUGAGGGGAGUGAAAUAGAACCUGAAACCGUGUACGUACAAGCAGUAGGAGCACCUUCGUGGUGUGACUGCGUACCUUUUGUAUAAUGGGUCAGCGACUUAUAUUCAGUGGCAAGGUUAACCGUAUAGGGGAGCCGUAGCGAAAGCGAGUCUUAACUGGGCGCUCAGUCUCUGGAUAUAGACCCGAAACCGGGUGAUCUAGCCAUGGGCAGGUUGAAGGUUGAGUAACAUCAACUGGAGGACCGAACCGACUAAUGUUGAAAAAUUAGCGGAUGACUUGUGGCUAGGGGUGAAAGGCCAAUCAAACUCGGAGAUAGCUGGUUCUCCCCGAAAGCUAUUUAGGUAGCGCCUCGGACGAAUACUACUGGGGGUAGAGCACUGUUAAGGCUAGGGGGUCAUCCCGACUUACCAACCCUUUGCAAACUCCGAAUACCAGUAAGUACUAUCCGGGAGACACACGGCGGGUGCUAACGUCCGUCGUGGAGAGGGAAACAACCCAGACCGCCAGCUAAGGUCCCAAAGUAUUGCUAAGUGGGAAACGAUGUGGGAAGGCUCAGACAGCUAGGAUGUUGGCUUAGAAGCAGCCAUCAUUUAAAGAAAGCGUAAUAGCUCACUAGUCGAGUCGGCCUGCGCGGAAGAUGUAACGGGGCUAAGCA
rnacentral:rRNA from 1 species